CACUCCCCAGAGGCCAACCAUUCACUGUGUAGGUCCAGCCCAUGUUAGACAUCGCAAAAUGCAACACACUUUUCUGCUUUAAAUUCCAUCAACCAUUCCUCAGCCCACCUGGCCAAUCAAUGCAGAUCCUGUUACAAUCUUUCACAACUAACUUCACUAUCUCCU